GUGGGGAAUAUUGGACAAUGGGCGCAAGCCUGAUCCAGCCAUGCCGCGUGUGUGAAGAAGGCCUUAUGGUUGUAAAGCACUUUAAGCGAGGAGGAGGCUACUUUAGUUAAUACCUAGAGAUAGUGGACGUUACUCGCAGAAUAAGCACCGGCUAACUCUGUGCCAGCAGCCGCGGUAAUACAGAGGGUGCAAGCGUUAAUCGGAUUUACUGGGCGUAAAGCGCGCGUAGGCGGCUAAUUAAGUCAAAUGUGAAAUCCCCGAGCUUAACUUGGGAAUUGCAUUCGAUACUGGUUAGCUAGAGUGUGGGAGAGGAUGGUAGAAUUCCAGGUGUAGCGGUGAAAUGCGUAGAGAUCUGGAGGAAUACCGAUGGCGAAGGCAGCCAUCUGGCCUAACACUGACGCUGAGGUGCGAAAGCAUGGGGAGCAA
rnacentral:rRNA from 1 species